rnacentral:lncRNA from 1 species
AGUGAUAAAAGACGGGCUGGCCUGUGUGUUUGGUCUUGGAUUUUCGGCUGGGCUUAGGUAGUAUCCGGCCCAAAUAAAUAAAAAUAACGGCCCGAUGGCCUUUCUUCUCCCAAAUCAGAAACCGAAUUUUGCACUUUGGCCCCCUGAUCUUUUGAGUAGUUUCACUGCAGCCCAGAACAUUUUAAAUUUCUUUCAUGUAGGUCCUUAUAUUAAUUGCAUUUUGGUCCCUGAAUUUUAUCUUUCAUUUAAUUUUGACCCCUGAACUUUGGAAAAUAUAAUUUUUGUCCCCCAAAAGUUUUCAAUUUUUGCAAUUCAGUCCCUAGUGAAUUUUGACUCUCUUUAUUAU